rnacentral:rRNA from 1 species
GUGGCGAGUGGCGAACGGGUGAGUAAUACAUCGGAACGUGCCCAGUCGUGGGGGAUAACGUAGCGAAAGCUACGCUAAUACCGCAUACGAACUGAGGUUGAAAGCGGGGGAUCGCAAGACCUCGCGCGAUUGGAGCGGCCGAUGGCAGAUUAGGUAGUUGGUGGGGUAAAGGCCUACCAAGCCGACGAUCUGUAGUUGGUCUGAGAGGACACCAGCCACACUGGGACGAGAACGGCCCAGACUCCUACGGGAGGCAGCAGUGGGGAAUUUUGGACAAUGGGAGCAAGCCUGAUCCAGCCAUUCCGCGUGCAGGAUGAAGGCCCUCGGGUUGUAAACUGCUUUUGUACGGAACGAAAAGGCCUGAGUUAAUACCUCGGGCUGAUGACGGUACCGUAAGAAUAAGCACCGGCUAACUACGUGCCAGCAGCCGCGGUAAUACGUAGGGUGCAAGCGUUAAUCGGAAUUACUGGGCGUAAAGCGUGCGCAGGCGGUGAUGUAAGACAGGUGUGAAAUCCCCGGGCUUAACCUGGGAACUGCAUUUGUGACUGCAUCGCUGGAGUGCGGCAGAGGGGGAUGGAAUUCCGCGUGUAGCAGUGAAAUGCGUAGAUAUGCGGAGGAACACCGAUGGCGAAGGCAAUCCCCUGGGCCUGCACUGACGCUCAUGCACGAAAGCGUGGGGAGCAAACAGGAUUAGAUACCCUGGUAGUCCACGCCCUAAACGAUGUCAACUGGUUGUUGGUCCUUCACUGGAUCAGUAACGAAGCUAACGCGUGAAGUUGACCGCCUGGGGAGUAC